CCUACUGCAGAAUAUAAAAGCAGGCUAAUUUCCAACAGAAAAGAUCAUUUCUCAGCAUUUCUUUCAAAGGUAGUUGCAAAAUAAUUUUUACUAAAUUUUCUGUGCCCAUCUCUGACAGAGCUUUGACACCAGGGAAGUAAUUAUCUACAUUUUUGUUAAAAUGAUGCUGACCAUCAGGAAGUGUUCCGAAUUAUAUUUUAGCCUUUAUGUUGGGAAAUAUUGUGAAACUUCUUCUAAAUUAAUGGGGGAGGGGCAUUCAUUGUAGCUCUUGUAGCCUGAUAAGGCUUCUCUAAAUUAUCUUUUUUUAAAUUUUAAUUAAAGUAAUUAAUUAAUUUUUUGCAGGGGGUGGUAAUUAUGUUUUUAUUUAUUUUAUUUUUAUAAGAAGUUCUGGGGAUUGAACCCAGGCCCUUGUGCAUGCUAAGAAUAUGAUCUUUCACUUGAGCUAUACCCCCCUAAAUUAUCUUUAAUAAGGUCUUUUUCUCUGUUUUGUUAUUUUCUUUUAUGUACAGAUGCACAAAGCAGGGUCAUCAGAAGCCUCUCAAUUCCAAAGAUGAUUAUAGUGAAAAACAUUGCACAGUGACAGUGAAUCCUUGGAAUAUGAAGAAAGAUUGUAAAGUCCUGAAUGAAUUAAGAAGGAAUUGUUACAUUAACUUACAUGUAACCAUGGCUCUCUUACCUUUAUUUUUCACUUUAUAAUGAAGAUAUUCCUCACCCGUCAAGGUUGCUUUGUUAGAUAUAGGGAAUAUCUAAAGCCUUUUCUGGAAGUUUUUUAAAUAAAUAAGAGCAGAGAAAACUUGAGCCUAUGAAUCUAAACUCAUCUGUGAUGGUCUGCAGCUGGGAGCAAGCAGAUCAGUGUCAGUCCCUUUGCAGCCGUUGGCUGGGAGCCUGCAUGUUCCCUGGAAUGAUAUUUGAAACAUGUCACCCUAGCCGUGCCUUUGCUCUGGACUGGGAGGCGAGUCAGUCAGAAUCUGCAUUAUGGAAUGUUUUGGAUGACAAGCUUGUAUUUGCAAAUGUACACACCCUGUGGGAGGUGCUCUGUACAUACGCUGAGAUACUGUACAUAAAAUUGCCUCUGAAUCCCAAUCAUCUGAAAACCGUGUCCUCAGCCUUUGAUACCUUCAGCUGUUUUAUGAAAGUCCUCCAAGUGGAUGAAAGUAUCAACAACCGGAACAAGAGUUUUUCAUUGCCCUAUUUGAGAAGAGCUGCGUGAACGACUUUUAUAUUCAGGAUAGAGAUACAUUCAUCAAUCCAACCACCAGGAGCCUCACUGGACUCCAUCUGAGAUGACAGCAACCCCUCAAAUUCAGAAGCACUUCUCUAACUGACAACAUCUCGCAUGAAAUGAAGUUUGUAAAAUUGCAACUUCAGCCUCCAUCAGAGGACCUCAGCUGCCCCAGCGAACAGGGCCUUCUGUACAGGGAAUGUGCUCCUCCUCGAAGCAUAGACAAGAAGCAGCCCUUAGAUCUCAUCAGGAAAUUCUACGGAGAGAAGGUCGGAAUCUACUUUGCUUGGGCUGGGCUAUUACAUUCAGAUGCUCCUCCUGGCAGCAGUCGUGGGGGUGACUUGCUUUCUUGUGACCCAGGUGGCUGUCUCCUUGAACUGAUGAUGCAGCUGACAAUAAUCAUGGGAGGACAGUCCAUCUGGAAUAACAUACAAGAGGUGUUACUUCCAUGGGUCAUGAAUCUAAUGAUGCCACAGUUUCGGGAGCAGAAUAGACCACCCCACGAUGGGAAUGGGACAACCAUCUGUAUCCAACGGGCAAACUGGGGUUAUUUUAUGAAUACCCUGAAAUGAGAGUAAAAGAAUUUAUGUUGUCCUUCCAUCCAUCCACCACUCCAUGUUUUGUGUCCAUUCCUUCAACAGGUAUUCAGUUUGGGUUCACCACAGUAUAUGUGGCCUCUUUCCAGUGGCCCCUCUGUUGGCUCUGGAGAACAAUAUAUUGGAAAUCAGAAUGGGUACGUGGAACCUUGACUACCCAGUAUAGACGCAUUGUGCCAGAAAAAGCCCAGAACAUCGCAGCAUGGCAGCCCACCAUGCAAGGAACAGCAAUUCUGGCUUUGGUGGACCAAUGUGAAUAAAAAGGCUUCAGUGGGUGAAGACUUAGAAAAGUCCAAAAAUGCAUUGGCGUUGUUUCCUAAGGAAUCUAGUGUUGGGUAAUGUUUAAUAUGAGAGGGAGAUGCUAACACUAUCAUCGUUAUAAACAACAUAGUUGUUGUAACUGUAAUUGUUAUUAUUUUUAAUAUAUUUUCUUUAUAAUUAUUAUUUGUGACUUACAAGACCCUUACAGAGGCAGUUGUUAAGGAGCGUGGCCGUUAUACUGUUGCUGAAGUGUUAAUUCAGUAGAAGCAUGGUAAUAGCAUUAAUAAGUACUCACUCUUUUGAUCCUCACAUUGACUAUAAAGGUCACCCGGCAGUGCAUGUAUAAUGGAGAUAGAAAUCUAUCCGUUUAAGUGUUUGUAGAACUUAAAAUAAGAGCAGACAUUCCACCGCAUUUGACCAUAUAUUCCAGACUAUCAGUUUAAAAUAGGAACUACCUGAUGAGGCCAUAGAAACCCUUUGUGCAUCCCCAAUCAUUCACUACCUUCCUGGUCCCCUGGGGCAGCGGUUCUUCCAGAAGGUGGCCCCAUCUCUCCUCCCCACCCCACUCUUGGCCUUUGAUACCAACUGUUGGUCAUUAGCUAAGCAUCCUCAUGUCCUGCAUGUGUCUGAGCUGUGAGGGAACAGAACUCAGCUGUUUACAAACUGUAUUGACUAUGACCAGUAUGAACAGCCUCUCUCCUUCCCUGCCCACAACCCAACAGUGCAACACGGGGCUCACAACCACAGCGAUUCCCAUGCCAGCCCAUCAGGGAACCUUCUUCCCUAGAAAUAUUCUUACAACCAGAGAUGUUUCCUCCCUUAUUUCACUGCCAGUUUCACUCCCAGGUUACAGUCCCCAUCAAAAGGCUAUCCCAGUUUGAAUUUCUUAAU